rnacentral:rRNA from 1 species
UCAAUCUCGUGUGGCUAAACGCCACUUGUCCCUCUAAGAAGUUGACGCCGACGCAAGCGGGAUCGGCGAACUAUUUAGUAGGCUAGAGUCUCGUUCGUUAU